rnacentral:rRNA from 1 species
GUUGGUGAACCAGCGGAGGGAUCAUUAA